AAUUAUUAUUAGAUUUUUAAAUAAUUAUUCACGAAAUAAAUUGAGCUAAAUUUUUGGUAUUUUUGGAAAUUAUAACUAUAUGUUACAAAAUAUAUUAACUAAAUAGAUUUAGGGGUGAAAGGCCUAUCAAAUUUUAUGAUAUCUUGAAGUAUAUAAAAUAUAUCAAGUAUUUCUAAUUCAACUAUUGAAUGUUUAGGUUCAAUAGUAACAUUAUAUUUUUUAAAAAAUUGUUCAAUUUUUUUAAGUAAAAUUGAGUUAGAGCAUAAAAUAUACAUCAAAUUUUUAUUAUAUGAAUAUAAAUAUACUACGGUUAUUAAUAAAUAUAAUCAUAUAUAAUGUAAUUAUUAGUAAUAGUUUAUUAAACUAUAUAAAGGAAUUCGGCAAGAAAAUUUUUCACCUGUUUAUCAAAAACAUAGCUUAUUGAAUAUCAUAAUAAGUAACCCCUGCUCAAUGGAAAUCUAAAUAGCCGCAGUACCUUGACUGUGCAAAGGUAGCAUAAUCAAUUGGCUUAUAAUUGAAGUCUGGAAUGAAUGGGUAAUCUGGAAAAUAACUGUCUUUAUUUGUAGUAUUUUGAAUUUACUUAUAAAGUGAAAAUACUUUAAUAUAAAUAUAAGACGAGAAGACCCUAGAAAUUUUUUGUUAAUAACUUUUGUUGGGGCGACAGGGUAACAUAUAAACUUACUUACAUUUAUAUAAAUCUUAUAAGGUACGUAACUAAAUUACUCUAGGGAUAACAGCAUAAUAUAUAAAAGUUUAUGACCUCGAUGUUGGACUAGGUAAUUAAAUAUUUAAAAGAUAUCUUAAUUUGCUCUGUUCGAGCAGUACCACCUACAU
rnacentral:rRNA from 1 species